rnacentral:lncRNA from 1 species
ACUAAACAAGUUUAAAUUCCCACCAGAAGUGCAUAAACAUCCCCUUUUCUCCACAACCUUGCCAGCUUCUGUUAGUUUUUGACCUUUUAAUAAUAGUCAUUCUGACUGGUGUGAGAUGGUGUCUCACUGUGGUUUUGAUUUGCAUUUCUCUAAUGAUUAGUGAGUUUGAGCAUUUUUUUCAUAGCCUUGUUGGCCACAUGUUAUGUCUUCUUUUGAAAAGUAUCUGUUCAUGUCCUUUGCCCACUUUUGAUGGGGUUGUUUGUUUUUUUUUCUUGUAAAUUUAAGUUCCUUGCAGAUGCUGGAUAUUAGACGUUUGUCAGAUGGCUAGGUUGCAAAUAUUUUCUCCCUUUCUGUGAGCUGUUCACUCUGUUGAUAGUUUCUUUUGCCGUAAAGAAGCUCUUUAGUUUAAUUAGGUCCCAUUUGCCAAUUUUUGUUUUUCUUGCAAUUACUUUUGGCAUCUUUGUCAUGAAGAUCAUUUCCAGGUCCUAUGUCCGCAAUGGUAUUUCCUAGGUUAUCGUCCAAGGUUUUAAUAUGUUUUCAUUUUAGAUUUAAGUUUUUAAUCCUGCCUUUGCCUCCCAAAGUGCUGGGAUUACAAGCGUGAGCUACCACACCCAGCGAGGAAGCCAAGUUUAACGUGUGUGCUCCACUCCUCCAACCUGGCCAAAGGGCAGUCAUCAUCACUGGCCACUGCUGACCACAGCCUUUAGAAACUCCCCUUGAACGUGCUGGGCUGACCUUCCUCUGAUCACAGGCAAGGUUGUAGAUGAGCAUGAGAGUGUGGAGCAGAGUUGGCGAGUGCAAGUCGAGCCCAUCAACCUGGACAGCUGUCUCCGUGCUUUCACCAGUGAGGAAGAGCUAGGGGAAGAUGAGAUAUACUACUGUUCCAAGUGUAAGACCCACUGCUUUAGCAACAAAGAAGCUGGAUCUCUGGAGGCUUCCACCCUUCCUGAUUAUUCACCUUAAGCGAUUUCAAUUUGUAAAUGAUCAGUGGAUAAAAUCACAGAAAAUUGUCAAAUUUCCUCGGGAAAGUUUUGAUCCGAGUGCUUUUUUGGUACCACGAGACCCGGCUCUCUGCCAGCAUCAACCACUCACACCCCAGGGGGAUGAGCUCUCCAAGCCCAGGAUUCUGGCAA